rnacentral:rRNA from 1 species
GACGAGGGGGGGCUAGUGUUAUUCGGCAUGAUUGGGCGUAAAGGGCAUGUAGGCUGCAAUUUAAGUUCUAAGUCAAAACCCAGAGCAUAACUUUGGUAAAUGGCUUUUAAUACUGGAUUUGCUUGAGUUAUAAGAAGGAUUGUAGAAUUUUUUGGAGAAGCGAUAAAAAUGUUGAUCUCAAAAAAGAAUACCAAAGGCGAAGGCAGCAAUCUAUGUAUAAACUGACGCUGAUAAUGCGAAGGUAUGGGGAGCAAACAGG